rnacentral:rRNA from 1 species
AGUAACGCGUGAGGAACCUGCCUUGGAGAGGGGGAAUAACACUCCGAAAGGAGUGCUAAUACCGCAUGAUGCAGUUGGGUCGCAUGGCUCUGACUGCCAAAGAUUUAUCGCUCUGAGAUGGCCUCGCGUCUGAUUAGCUAGUAGGCGGGGUAACGGCCCACCUAGGCGACGAUCAGUAGCCGGCCUGAGAGGGUGAACGGCCACAUUGGGACUGAGACACGGCCCAAACUCCUACGGGAGGCAGCAUG